CAUGGGUCUCCCCCGGGUGCUCCGGUUUCUUCCCACAUCCCAAAGAUGUGCAGGUUUUUAGGUAUAUUGACCCUCUGUGAAUUACCCCUAGUGCGUAAGGAGUGGAUGAGAAAAUGGGAUAACAGAGAACUAGCAUGUGAACAGGUGAUCGAUGGUCAGCGUGGAC